AUUGAACGCUGGCGGCAUGCCUUACACAUGCAAGUCGAACGGCAGCACGGGUGCUUGCACCUGGUGGCGAGUGGCGAACGGGUGAGUAAUACAUCGGAACGUACCUUACCGUGGGGGAUCACGCAGCGAAAGCUGUGCUAAUACCGCAUACGCACUGAGGGGGAAAGCGGGGAAUCGCAAGACCUCGCGCUAUUAGAGUGGCCGAUGCCUGAUUAGCUUGUUGGUGGGGUAAAAGCCCACCAAGGCGACGAUCAGUAGCUGGUCUGAGAGGACGAUCAGCCACACUGGGACUGAGACACGGCCCAGACUCCUACGGGAGGCAGCAGUGGGGACUUCUGGACAAUGGGGGCAACCCUGAUCCAGCAAUGCCGCGUGAGUGAAGAAGGCCUUCGGGUUGUAAAGCUCUUUUGUCAGGGAAGAGACACCGGCUCUAACACAGUCCGGGAGUGACGGUACCUGAAGAAUAAGCACCGGCUAACUACGUGCCAGCAGCCGCGGUAA
rnacentral:rRNA from 1 species